rnacentral:snRNA from 1 species
AUCGCUUCUCGGCCUUUUGGCUAAGAUCAAGUGUAGUAAAAAAAAAAAUAAUGUCCUUUUAAAAAAAUGUUGUAAGUUUUCUUGAACAUUGUGAUUUUUUAGUCUGAUCGUUUUUAUCAAGACUCUGUCCC